AGCACUGCCACAGUGACACCUCCAAGCAUUCUCAUUCUUAGAUGAGAAGUCAACAAUUCAACAGAUGUAACUCAACAACUCAAAACCAACUGUAAAGCAUAGUCACCUAUUUCCUCAGAGGAUUACUUCUAGCCCAUCAUGGGCUACCCACAUCCUAUCUGAUGCAAGGGCCCGGCGGAGGCCCCGCCAUGGCUGCAGGAGAAGCGCGCCCACAGCCCAGACGCUGGGCCUUCCAGCAGCACGUAGUGCCGAGCUCAAUGCAUGCUCAGACUCCAGGCUCUGCCUUUCACCUGAUGGAAGAAUGUAGGCACAGAUCUCCCAAGGUCUCAGCUUUCUGCCAGCUAAAUAAUCGUUCUGCAGGCACAGCUAGCCAAAAAGUCGAGUUACACAAGCGAAAAGCUCUGUUCCAAGUCAGAGAAUGGUACAACAGGGCAUCAAGCGUUCAGUGCCAAGGGACCGAGGCUGGCACACUGCCUGAAAUCAUCCAUCUGAAGCAUGAGGAUACCCCAUCCCUGGAAGUGUCAAGGCCAGGUUGGAUGGGACUCAGGGCAGCCUCAGCUGGUGGGAGGCAGCCCUGCCCAUGGCAGGGGGCUGGAAUCAGUUGGGUUUUAAGUCCCUUUCAACUCAAGUCAUACCACGAUUCUGUGUGCUUGCAGAAAGAUGAGGAUGCAGUCCCACGAAAGCUCUCGCUUGCCCUGUUCCCAGUAAAAUUGCCAUUUUACUGGCAACAAACAACAUUAUUAAAUAUAAUGUCUUCCACCAGGAGCUUUUGAUAUAAUUAAUAAUAAAUAACAAAAAUACUAAUCAAGUAGUAUGUUUUUCUCUACUAACUUCUGAGGUAUUUACCAAGCUGUACCCCAGGCUUAUUUUAGCGACAUUGUUUGUGCGUGUAUAUGUGUAUAUAUAUAUAUAUAUAUAAAAGUACAGUAAAUGUUAUUUCAAUGUCCUAAUUAAUGACAGAACACAAACUCCCACUUAACUCCAGUUUACACUAAGAGUCUAGCCCAAAUAAUCAGUACUGUUCCAUGAAGACAACAUAAAGCAAAGAGGUCUGCAGGCUCGGGUAGGUGUUUGUCUCUCACGAGAGGCAUGCUCCAGUUCUCUGCCACCCCAUAGAGUUCCCAGUUAAUCUGUCAGAGAUGACAGAAGAAGCUCUGUGCUACCCAGCGCUGGAGUUAGGCUCCUUAAAUGCAAUGCAGAGUUAAUUAACUCUGAAUUAACAGUCUGCUAGAUGCGACUGUCAAAUGGGGGCAGUUUUGGUUGGGGCUUGGAAAGAGGAAAACCAACAGGGAUCUCAUAAGCCACUUCCAUUUCACUCCAUGCUCUUGGCAAAAUCUCUUCAUAUGGAGUAAAAAAAUAAUCAUUUUGAAUUAAAUUAGACAUCCUAAUAGAGAAAAUUUGUGUCUUUAUGAAGACUGACAUUGCUCAGCUGACCACAAAGACUUUGAUUCCGCUCUCACAGGAACAGGUCAGAAAAACAACACCUUUCCAACAUUAGCUGCAUUAAGUAAGUACUGUACAACAGGCCUGAAUGGCAGAAGCUUUUCAAAAACUCUCACCUGCCAAAAGUUUGCUUAGAAAUACCUAUAUUCAAUUUUCCUGCUUUGUCUCCUGAGGGGAAGAAACAGUACUCAAACUGAUAUAAAUUUGCUUUGGUUAGAAUAGCACUCUACCUAUGUGAAUUUCAGGAAUCUCAGCAAGUGUACACUGCACAAUAAUAAUUAAAAAAUAUAUAUUUCAAAAUCAUUAUUCUGAUAAAGAAAGUUCUCUCUCUGAUUACCACUGAAUUCCAAAGCCUGAUAGGUUUCUCUUUCCAAUAUUCGGAGCUAAACAGUUUCAGCUUUCUUGUUUAGCUUGAUUUAAGCAUUAGCCAAACCUGGAAGAAUAUAAGUAGCAGAUGAGCAAUAAAUUACAAGUACUCAGUGGUUUUCUAGCUUGAGUUCUUUCAUUUCCACAUAUUCCCCACGUCAGAAAAUAAUAUCCAACUCUGCUAAAAAAAUCAGUCCCUUCAGACUAACUUAAGCUCAAUCCCUCAAAAGGGAAACAUUUAAAGAUUUUGAAACUCUGAUCCACACCUCCAUGGACAAAUCUGCAUCAGGUGACUUAAUCCAAACCAGUAUUUUAACUGGGGAAGCAGAUCAGACUAAAGGCUAAGAAAACAACUAACAUAGAAGAGAUUUGGAACAUCGUUAAAACACAGUCUGUCACAACUGUAACAUUUCAUUUCCAGAUUCCUGUCUAACUGCUUGGUCACGGUGAUACCUCAAGAAAAUGUAUAUCGACUACACAAAUCACACUGGCUUUCAAGCAGUGUCACAGAAGACACACCAAAGUAUGCAAAUAUAUGAAAAAUAUAUCAAUAUAUUGAGUCGUCAUCAGUAUCAAAUAAUACAAUCUUAACCCUUAACACUUAAGAAGUGCUGAACCAAAUAUUUUGUCUGUAGAACUUUGUCAAUAAAUGGAAGUGUAUUUGAAAAGUUCACUUUAAAUUCAAUGGUUUUCAGGUCAGCAAAUAUUUCCUUCUCACAAUGACAGCAUCAAACUAUUUUCUUUGAACAUCCACAGACACAAGCAUUAUUUAUAUUAUCUGUUACAAUCCUGCAGAAAUUUGCUUUUCCUAUGCUGUACAGUCACUAGUUCAUCUAAUGUAAAUAUUUGUAAAGCUGAAGCUGGUUGUGGUUUUUUGUUUUGUUUUUGCUUUUUUUGUUUUGUUUUUAAUGAGAAAGCCACUAAAAAAUUGGCUUGCUGUAUAGCAUUUUAAAGAAUGUUUACCUAUUUAAUGCACUUCAAGCAUUAAUUACAUGGAGAUAUCAAAGAUUAUUUCCAAAUGCCGUUUAGCAAAUAAACUUUCCUUUUCACAGAAGUAAACACUAAAAUCCAAUUCUAUAAGUUAAGGUAAAAAGCCCAUAUUUCAUAAAAUAGUCGUAAUAGAGUCCAAAAUAGCUACAAAUAAAUGGGGCAUACAGACAUAGAACUGAAUCUGUUGUAUCCUUCAGACUAAGAACAACAAACUAACAACAUACUUUUCCAGGGGAUGAGAUACUUCCUAAUGGCAUUUAUUAAAGCAGUUGUUAUGGUAUGACUCAAUUUUUCUAAAGAGAGGGAGGGCAAUUGUGACCUUAUUGGGAGUUUUGCCAUAAAUGAAGUAGAAGACAAAAUUUUGGCUUUGCUUUUCACAAAUAGUUCAACAUUUCUUUUAACAUAUUCUUGACACAUAAAGUCAGUAUAAAAAUUUCCCCAGACACAACAGUUAUUCUCACUGAUUCUACAUGCUAUUCAAACAACAAAUUUCUAUCAAUGUGAUUAUGCAAAUAUAGGUGCAAAAUAAGAAUAGUGUUUGUUUUAUCAGUUUUAACAGGCUAAAAAUGUAAUGCUAGUUUAACAUUUCAGAUUAGUCCAAAAUAAGCAAUACUGAUUAAAUAGAAUCCAUUCAUAUCAAUGAUUUAAAAGUUGUUUACUUUAGCUCUCUCACUCUGCCAUAUAUAGACAACCUACCGUUCAUUACCAGUGUGUAGAACAAUCACGCUUUUAGAACAAAGUAUUGGACCUUUGGAACUUCCCAGCUGCCUUCUGAAUGCAGUGGAAUACACAUGCUUGCCAUGCAAUUAGAUGUGCUUGUUUCAGCAUGGAAGCUUAAGGUAUAUGUCUGAGUUCUGAUUAAAUUCCUAAAAGCUCAAAACAUUGUAACUGACUUUUAUAGACCACAUUCAAUUGUUCUUAGAGUUCAGAUCUUACAGAUGCAAAAAUGCAUCAGUUGUUAGUUGGAUAAUGGAAACCUUAUAUGACUACUGUCACUCAGAUUUUCUAUCUCAGUUCAAAUAUAGACGGUACUUUUUGGGGAAACAAAGCAAAACAAAAACUGUAAAUCUCACAAUAUUCUCACAUUACAAGCAACUGUGUCCUGUUGUCCUUUUAGAACCUUGCAUGGAUCAUGCACAUUCUUACUAACUAGCAUCAACAACUUCUUUUAGCCAGACAUUACCUGAAGACAGAAGCUUGUGAGUGCGUAAGAAACUGAUUGCCAGGCGCAUUAUGGAUGCCUUGUCCAGGUGGGAACUGACAUUGUGGGGCAGGGGCAGUUCAUGAGCCAGUUCGUAGAAUACUUCCGUCUCUUUGCUUCUCCUGCAUCUUGCUGCAUCUCUCGAUUUCUCCUUUCUCCGCUCGGAACUGCUCCUACCAGGUAGAGAAGAGAAAGGAAAAAAGCAUUUUUUGAAAUUCAAUUCACAACUUCAGCGAGGCAUUUAUACGAGUUAGCCUUGUCAUCAAUGAAUCCAUUCUGCCAACUGGUUUAAACUUCACUGACCGAAUAUUAAUAUUCAUUUGCUCAUUUAAAGUGGGAGUUAGGGGGGGACUGCUGCAACUGGAAAAUCAGCCUUCAGAUCCUUUGAGUCCUUGCUGAAUGUAACAGGUUCAAGAUCUGUUUUAGCCGAGAUUAAAUAUGAAAUAGCAAACUAUUAUUCCUGAGAUUCAGUACAUGUUAAAAAUUGUGUGAUAUCUAAAUUUGUUUUGUUCAAUCUACAAUAGUUCACUAGCAAAACACUUCAGAAUGAGUUGGUAAUUCAUUCUAAAGCUGGAGAAAUUGCAGAGCACAUGUGUUUGUGUCACAGAUAAAAUGAAUUGCAAUUGUCAUUCCCUGCAUUAAAAUAAAGGUAAUAACAGGGUAUCCAACUAUGUAUGUACAGCUGUCUCAGUUCUUAAUGCUACUCUGAAAAACCAACUUUCCUUGACCACAAAGAAUAUAAAAUGGAAAAGAAAAUACUGCUGCAUGCAAGAAAUUUUGCCUUAGUAAAAGCUAUUUUAAGGAAAACAACAUCUCUCCAUUGUCCAUGAGAACAGACACCUUCUUGAGUGAAACAACAAGACGAAUAAAGACAACCUCCCUUAAACACCACAGAGAACAGAAGAGCAGGAAAUAACAAAGGGGAAGACAUUUUAUGAAGCAAGUAUACAAAACUAAGCCACCAAGGGACACAAAGCUAAAUUUAACGUGAGAAACACAAAGGCUACAUUUAUUAUGGAUUUGGGAUACAAUCGUUUAAAAGAAAACUUCACUGCCUUGUUUCAGAAAAUACAAUUCUUUUAUUUCAGAGCAUGAAGAACCCAAUGUUAUUGGAAAAAAAAAAAGCUCAAAAACUACCAAUUGUUUCAACCUAAUGAAGCUCUGCUGAUAUUACAAGUUUCUUUCACUUGCACGGGUUGAGGUUUCACACCGUAAUUAGAUAUAUUACACCAUAAUAGACAUAUUUUUCUGUCAGAGUUCCACAGUGGAGUAUCAGUGCAAAUUGCACAGCUCAGAUGAGCACAAGUUGUGGAAAAGAUCGACCACACCAUUUGUGCUGAUACACAUUCAAUCUCUAGAACUCGCCAGUGGUGGGUCUCUUCUUGCCAAGCCUUACAAAUAUUUCAACUUGCCAUUUCCAAUGUUAGUGUAAAGUAAUGAGUCUUUAAAGCUUAAAAAACUCCCCAUCAGGGCAGGACAUAUCACUAACUAUACUCUUUCACAUUAAGAAGAUGAGGAAACAAAUGAUGUGACAAAUACUAACCACAUUGCUUAAUCCUAUAAGCUGUUCAAAUCAUGGUUGGUAUGGAAUAAAACUGCACAAAAUAGAGUUUUAAUAUACAGUAAUGCAUUUUAGAGAAGGUGAUCAUUUCUAGAAGAUCCUGAGUGACUGCGAAGUUUCUAGCAUGGAAACCACAGGUGGCUUAGAAAAUUACAAGUAAAAUAGCCAGGGUAUGUAUUAAGUGCUAAGAGCAAAGUUACAGUAAGGUGUGUGUUGGGGUCCACCCAAGGCUGAGUGUUCAACAUCAUCUUUCAAAGCAGAAAACUGCUCAGAGCACAUCAGUAGCACUCCUAUGGUUCAAAACACUUGAAGCUGGGCAUAAGCAUGGGGAUCAGAUAGGUGGGAUGGCAGGUGUUCAUUACUGGGUGUGCUAACAGAGAACAGGGCCUCAUAAAUGCUUAUGGUAUCUUCUUAAGAUCCAUGUUCAGCCUUUGGCAAACCUCUUUCACAAUUCUUUUGCCUGAGGUGAAUAUUUUCUGACAUGGUAUCUGUUACAGGAGAUAUGUACAAGAUGAGACCAACACACUUUUAGUUAGGUAACAGCAGAAUUCAGCUGAAUAACAACUUCAGUGCAUUACAGGAGCGAGCACCAACCCGUCCAAGUCUGAAUCUAAAGUAUCAGAUAUUCACAAGGUAACACUAGCUCCUUAUUUUUCUCUUUGCCAAGUAAGAGUCAGACUAUACACACAUUAAAAAAGUCCCUUUACACACAGGUGUCCUUGAAAGUAUAACAAAAAAAUGCCCUAUGUCACCUUGGAAUGGGAAAACCAGGUGAAUUACUCAAUCUGACGCUUCUUUUACAGGUAACUUGCUCUCUUGAGAAAAAUGCAUCUGUGCAGAUUCCACUCUGGGAAAAAAAUUCUCAGUUUCUAAUUCAGCCACUGAGAAAAAAGAUACCUUCCCUUAGCACUGCUUCCAACAGUAAGUAGCUCCCUGCUUCUCUGCAAUGAGACAUAGCUCAACGCACACCACCCAGUGUCCUCUUGACUUGGAAAAUGAGAGGAAGAGCUGGCCUGUUUGACUGCUUUCUAAAGAGUUCUUGCUCACACAUAAUCAUUUUGAAUAAACAAACAAUUUGCUUGUUAAGCAUUUCCCUGUGUGGUUUCCUGCACCUCAAUUUUCCUCCUCUUCUACCCUAGCUCAGCAUACCCUCAAGUUGGGUGGUUGUUGUCGUCAGGUAAGUACAAUUACACGGAGGCACAAAACAACCCCUGGCCUCAUGCCUCACAUCAUUUCCCCCAAGCAGAGUCUUUACCUGCUUAAAAGACUGCCAUCUAGUACUCAUUCAUCUUGGUCGCACAAAAGCCUCCAGAACAUUCAGCCAAGUGAUACAGCUCUGCAGAAUGCACUAUGUUCAUGGUUUUCCUUUGCAGGUAGCAGGCCAUCUCACUUCCCUGCAGCUGUCCUCCAUUUUAUUCACUGGGAGAGCUUUUCUCUCUGAGCAAGGUUUGGCUACCCUCAGCCAGAAAGUGAAAAUAUAACUCCUCAACAACUUUGUCUGAAGGCCAGGCAGAAAGGUUUACAUGGAAUCCUGCUCACACAUCAUUAGAGCAAUAAAGGCAUAGGCUGCAGCUAAUUUAUGAAUCAUUCCCUCCCAGCAUAUAAACCGCCCACUUAUGUGGCAAAAACGAGCAAAUGUGUGCGUCACUGUUCGGAGAAAGUGGAGCAAGCAAAGGCAGAAACCUUCCUCACCCAAACCCAUGCCAGAUUUUUAAAAAUGCAGGGGGUAAUGAGAGGAGAAAGCCACUUCAGAUCAACCCAUCCAUGCACACUUACAAGGGUGGGAGGUCCUGCAGGGAAGCUUCCAUAAUGCUUUGUACUUUUGGGAGUCCCAGGACCUGCCAGGACCUGGCCCUGCUCCACCAAUACACACACAUACUCACUCAGUAAUCACUGCAUGAUCACAAACUGUUCCCCUCAAAAAAAACAAGAAAGGAAUGGGAAAGCUCAAGUCUCCACUGGAAACAAGGUGAUAGAGCUCAGGAGCAGGCCUGGGGUUUCUGGUUAGACUCAGUCCACUUGCUCCCAGCAGCUUCAGUUUGCCUUUUGAAAACAGAAGUCGUGGGCUGCUGCCUGCAGCACUAGCAGUGCUUGGCAGUUUCAGGUGGAGCUCUCAGCGUGUCACAAGUUGAAGCUCUCCAUGUUUUCUUCCACCAAGCCAGACAACGAACCAGCCCAAAGUCUACACUCAUACCGGCUGCAAAUGCUGCCUCACCAGUCAGGAAAACUCAACUGGGAGCAAGAGUGCCUGGUGCAGAUGACAGAGGUCAGAUUCCCAUCCCCUCGCUCACCCCAGCAUCCUUGCAACACAGCUGUACUGAAAUCAAUGGGAAUGCCAGCAGAUGAAGGUCUUGCUUGAGGUUCAGAUCAUAAUCUGACUUCCAGCAGGCUCUCCAGCUGCCGUGCUGGAAACUUCAGGCUUGGAAAAAGCUGAACCCUCAUAUAACCGCCCCUGCCCAAACAACUUUGUAAAACUGUCAUGUCAUCCUGGGGACCUGUCACCCCUGGCAGCUCCAAACCUCUGCAGGUGGGAGCAAUCCCAGUCUUCAGUUACCCAUGGAAGCCCUUGGAACUUACUCAGCUGACGAUGGUGCCGGGUGGUCAGCCUCAGCCAUGCUCCUGAUGUCUAGGGAGGGUGGCAACCUCCUUGCAGCUUGCGGAGUGGAUUGCACUGUGUCCCAGGCUGAGAUAGCAACUUCCAGCUCAGUGUUUCACUGCUCUCAAGUCCACAUGGAUCAAUACUUUGCUCAUGUAAGACUAGGCAGCACAGUAACUGCACUGUAUUACCUUUCUACCUUGUAGGUGCCAGAACACAGGAGAUUUUAGUGAAAUCACAGCCUGCUCCUCGCAUAAGAACACCUUAUUUGCAGUCUGGUAGUCUUCACUCAUACCUGCACACUGUGUGACACAGACAUAAAACCUUUUGAAAUACAUAGCUCAGACUGACUUCCUUCAGUUUCCUUCCCUAUUUUGGUGACCCUUGGACUUUGCUUCAGACUGCCUUCCAUGCAAACUAGUAAAACAGCAAACAUAUUACUUUAUAUCCACCGGCUGGUUAUUAAAUGUUUCUAGUUCCAGCACUUUAAAGGUCAAGAAUCCAGAGUUAAUUAAGCUGUCAUAUGAAAUUUCUGAAGUAAACUCGCAUUUCAAAUGGCUUAGAGUUAAGCCUCAAAUGCUAACUUAUAGAGCAAGAAAAAUACAUUCUAGGGAUGAAAAGAUAAGAAAAUAUUUUACAGUACACACAAAGCAAAUUAAAAAACGGGGUGGAUGUUUAGCAUAAAAAAAUUCCAAUUUGUAAAAAUAUUUUAAUGGGCAGUACUAUCCUAGAUAACAACAAAGAUUUAUUUCAAACCAGCAAAUCCACUUUUUGCAGCGUGUUUACAUUUUGCUUUACCUUUUGCUUAGCAAAUCCCUAGAUGAUUUAAGCCACCACCAUAUCUAAAAAGGAGUUUUGCUCCAUAGCUAUCUCGGAACCGUACCAUCUGACAGCUCAGAGAUGUGCCUGCAUGUGCACCAAGCAGCCAGCGGUCAUGCUUAUUUAGCCUUGAAAUUCCUUUAAAAAUAAUUCACUCAGCUUUGUAACCAUUCUAUCCAACAAGCAGUUUAAUCUGGAUGGCACCCUGUGCUUUUUGAAAGUCCCCUCCAUUAGAGCAAUAAAAGUGACCAUCAGUAAAUAAAGAUACUACAAACUCACUCACACCAGGAAACCAGGCCCAAAUAUGCAAGCUGUCAAUGAAAUCCAAACACAGUGCCAUACAGAUCCCUCCUUAUACGUGAACACGUUCCAGUGAAAAUAAUUGUUUCUAAAAUCUGAAAAAGCACCAGAUGAGCAAGUUUGGCACACCAGUGGGAAGGGGAAGAACAGAGUUAUGCCUCAACUGAGGAAAAAAAAGAAAAGAUUUGAAAAUGUGUAGUGUUCAUGGCUGUAAAGUGCUAAAGUGGCACUGUUGCACAUUGGAAGAUGGCACCCAGUACUCAGGCAAAAUGAAUAUGAACUCCACCAAAACAAGGAUUUGUUAAUAGAGGAAAUGAGAGUUCGAAGGUAACAAGAAAAGUUACUAACAGAGAAGGCUAUUACAAAAAUAAGGAAAUGAAAUACCUUCCACCCUUCCUUUAAAUCUGCUUUGACUUACCACUGAUUCCUUGGUUUGACUGGGGGGAUUUUUCGUAUUUUCUGCACAUACCCACUAAACAACAAAUUGCUGCUGCUGGUUUAAUAAACAUAGGCACCUACUGCUA